rnacentral:rRNA from 1 species
GAUGAACGCUGGCGGCGUGCCUAAUACAUGCAAGUCGAGCGAACGGACGAGAAGCUUGCUUCUCUGAUGUUAGCGGCGGACGGGUGAGUAACACGUGGAUAACCUACCUAUAAGACUGGGAUAACUUCGGGAAACCGGAGCUAAUACCGGAUAAUAUUUUGAACCGCAUGGUUCAAAAGUGAAAGACGGUCUUGCUGUCAUUUAUAGAUGGAUCCGCGCUGCAUUAGCUAGUUGGUAAGGUAACGGCUUACCAAGGCAACGAUGCAUAGCCGACCUGAGAGGGUGAUCGGCCACACUGGAACUGAGACACGGUCCAGACUCCUACGGGAGGCAGCAGUAGGGAAUCUUCCGCAAUGGGCGAAAGCCUGACGGAGCAACGCCGCGUGAGUGAUGAAGGUCUUCGGAUCGUAAAACUCUGUUAUUAGGGAAGAACAUAUGUGUAAGUAACUGUGCACAUCUUGACGGUACCUAAUCAGAAAGCCACGGCUAACUACGUGCCAGCAGCCGCGGUAAUACGUAGGUGGCAAGCGUUAUCCGGAAUUAUUGGGCGUAAAGCGCGCGUAGGCGGUUUUUUAAGUCUGAUGUGAAAGCCCACGGCUCAACCGUGGAGGGUCAUUGGAAACUGGAAAACUUGAGUGCAGAAGAGGAAAGUGGAAUUCCAUGUGUAGCGGUGAAAUGCGCAGAGAUAUGGAGGAACACCAGUGGCGAAGGCGACUUUCUGGUCUGUAACUGACGCUGAUGUGCGAAAGCGUGGGGAUCAAACAGGAUUAGAUACCCUGGUAGUCCACGCCGUAAACGAUGAGUGCUAAGUGUUAGGGGGUUUCCGCCCCUUAGUGCUGCAGCUAACGCAUUAAGCACUCCGCCUGGGGAGUACGACCGCAAGGUUGAAACUCAAAGGAAUUGACGGGGACCCGCACAAGCGGUGGAGCAUGUGGUUUAAUUCGAAGCAACGCGAAGAACCUUACCAAAUCUUGACAUCCUUUGACAACUCUAGAGAUAGAGCUUUCCCCUUCGGGGGACAAAGUGACAGGUGGUGCAUGGUUGUCGUCAGCUCGUGUCGUGAGAUGUUGGGUUAAGUCCCGCAACGAGCGCAACCCUUAAGCUUAGUUGCCAUCAUUAAGUUGGGCACUCUAAGUUGACUGCCGGUGACAAACCGGAGGAAGGUGGGGAUGACGUCAAAUCAUCAUGCCCCUUAUGAUUUGGGCUACACACGUGCUACAAUGGACAAUACAAAGGGCAGCGAAACCGUGAGGUCAAGCAAAUCCCAUAAAGUUGUUCUCAGUUCGGAUUGUAGUCUGCAACUCGACUACAUGAAGCUGGAAUCGCUAGUAAUCGUAGAUCAGCAUGCUACGGUGAAUACGUUCCCGGGUCU